rnacentral:tRNA from 1 species
GGUCCCGUAGCUCAGCUGGAUAGAGCACAGGAUUCCUAAUCCCGGGGUCGUGGGUUCAGAAUCCCGCCGGGGUCACCA